rnacentral:rRNA from 1 species
AGUGAACGCUGGCGGUAGGCCUAACACAUGCAAGUCGAACGGCAGCACAGUAAGAGCUUGCUCUUACGGGUGGCGAGUGGCGGACGGGUGAGGAAUACAUCGGAAUCUACUUUUUCGUGGGGGAUAACGUAGGGAAACUUACGCUAAUACCGCAUACGACCUACGGGUGAAAGCAGGGGAUCUUCGGACCUUGCGCGACUGAAUGAGCCGAUGUCGGAUUAGCUAGUUGGCGGGGUAAAGGCCCACCAAGGCGACGAUCCGUAGCUGGUCUGAGAGGAUGAUCAGCCACACUGGAACUGAGACACGGUCCAGACUCCUACGGGAGGCAGCAGUGGGGAAUAUUGGACGAUGGGCGCAAGCCUGAUCCAGCCAUACCGCGUGGGUGAAGAAGGCCUUCGGGUUGUAAAGCCCUUUUGUUGGGAAAGAAAAGCAGCAGGUUAAUACCCCGCUGUUCUGACGGUACCCAAAGAAUAAGCACCGGCUAACUUCGUG